rnacentral:rRNA from 1 species
GAGGACCUCUGGCGGCGCGCCUAACACAUGCAAGUCGAACGAGCGAGAGAGAGCUUGCUUUCUCAAGCGAGUGGCGAACGGGUGAGUAACGCGUGAGGAACCUGCCUCAAAGAGGGGGACAACAGUUGGAAACGACUGCUAAUACCGCAUAAGCCCACGACCCGGCAUCGGGUAGAGGGAAAAGAAGCAAUCCGCUUUGAGAUGGCCUCGCGUCCGAUUAGCUAGUUGGUGAGGUAAUGGCCCACCAAGGCGACGAUCGGUAGCCGGACUGAGAGGUUGAACGGCCACAUUGGGACUGAGACACGGCCCAGACUCCUACGGGAGGCAGCAGUGGGGAAUAUUGCACAAUGGGGGAAACCCUGAUGCAGCGACGCCGCGUGGAGGAAGAAGGUCUUCGGAUUGUAAACUCCUGUUGUUGAGGAAGAUAAUGACGGUACUCAACAAGGAAGUGACGGCUAACUACGUGCCAGCAGCCGCGGUAAAACGUAGGUCACAAGCGUUGUCCGGAAUUACUGGGUGUAAAGGGAGCGCAGGCGGGACGACAAGUUGGAAGUGAAAUCCAUGGGCUCAACCCAUGAACUGCUUUCAAAACUGUUUUUCUUGAGUAGUGCAGAGGUAGGCGGAAUUCCCGGUGUAGCGGUGGAAUGCGUAGAUAUUGGGAGGAACACCAGUGGCGAAGGCGGCCUACUGGGCACCAACUGACGCUGAGGCUCGAAAGUGUGGGUAGCAAACAGGAGUAGAUACCCUGGUAGUCCACACUGUAAACGAU